CUGCCAUUAUUAUUUUUUGCGUUUAAUUUGUUACAUUUGUGGUACCAGCAUAGAUGGUGGAAAAUACAUAAAUUCGAUAAGCUCUUUGAAGAGAUGUUGUUUGCUAAGGGACCAGUCAUUAUUUAUUGAGGGGGUGGGUGGGUAAAAAUUGGGGGGUGGGUCACAAACAUUUAUAGUAUGGUAAAGGGGGGGUCAUCAGAUAUUAUAUCACUUAGGUGGGCGGGGGGGGGGGGUCAAAAGGAUAUUUUUGAGGAUCAGGGCCCGAAAUAG